rnacentral:rRNA from 1 species
UACGUAGGGUGCAAGCGUUGUCCGGAAUUAUUGGGCGUAAAGAGCUCGUAGGCGGUCUGUCGCGUCGGCUGUGAAAACUCGGGGCUCAACCCCGAGCCUGCAGUCGAUACGGGCAGACUAGAGUGCUGUAGGGGAGACUGGAAUUCCUGGUGUAGCGGUGAAAUGCGCAGAUAUCAGGAGGAACACCGGUGGCGAAGGCGGGUCUCUGGGCAGUAACUGACGCUGAGAUGCGAAAGCGUGGGGAGCAAACAGG